AUUUGGGACAACUAAAUCUUUCCCAGACUUUGCUGGCAGACUCUCCUACUUGCAAGUCUGCUGGAUUUUGCCUAAUUGAUGAACAUAUGGAACUAAAUACAGGUGCACACUCAAAAGAGCAGGAGCAGCUGGGGCAUGUCAAAGUCAAAGGCUCACAACCCCGAAAUCUCUCUUCAUCAUCAGCUACACAUAAAAGUGCAUUUGAGGGAUCAUCAUUGACAGCUUCACUUGAUUUAUUUUGGAACUUGGAUGAAUCUAGUCCUAAGCAAUCAGCCAGACGUGCUGGGCUAGUACCCUGAAUUGACGCACAUAGACGGGAUAUUACA
rnacentral:misc_RNA from 1 species